GUUUUCCUCUGUGUUUAUGUCUCAGAGUCCUGUGUUUGGGUCCUGCAUUCUGCCUGCCACCUUCUGAAGGAAAGAUAUGAUGUCAAGAUGAAGUGACGCUGCCACACACACCUGGUUGUUGAGGAAGGAUUCGGCCUGUUUGACGUCA